rnacentral:lncRNA from 1 species
CAAGAAGUGACACUGGCCUGGAAGAAUACUAAAUUUCUACCUUUUCCAUACCACUCAUACAAAGCAGUGCUAAAUUUAAUUCCUAAAAACCUCUUGACUCUCCGAUAUACUUCAUGCUCACCUCCAACACUGUAAUAAUGGACCACUUCAUUUCUCACCAAAUGACUAUGGGGGCAUUCCUAAUGUGGGCAUUGUUAAACUAUGUUCUUAGAACUUUGGGUACUUCCUGGAUUGCUGAGGGAAGGGAGAAGGGAGGCAGAACAAUCAAGUCUUAAGUUCCUCAUCCCUAUCUCAAGCAAAUGCUGAGUUGCUUGGCACCAUCUGGGUGCCGCUAUGUUUGCCAAGUUCCUAUCAUCUCUUGUCAGUCAUCGCUAAGUACCUCCUCGUCCACCAGAUGCUGUAAUCUCCGUCCACAGCCAAGUCAUUCACACUACCGAGAUGAUAAACCUCCAUGGUGUUCUUUUGCAGAAUGGAGAAGGCUGCUUCUCUCUCCUUUGGUUCAUACGACAUCAGAGUGCAACUCUGAAUGCUUGAGCUUCAGAUCGAUGUUUUAAAGAGUUUUUAGCCCUUUUUGCUUACAAGCACUCUAAUUUUCAUGGAACUUAGAAACCCAAAGGUGGCUGAGCCAAGAAGCUAGUAUGAGUUACACACAUACCCACCACUUUCCCAAAUACCUACACACCUACUAUACAUUGUGCCAAGAGCGUCUCAUUUCUCACGUUAAUGAAAUUCUCUUAAUCCAUUACCAUCUUUGUCCAAUUUCAUAGUCCAAUAAAGACCACUGCUACUGAAGUAAUAGCUAUGUUUUGUUGUCUAAAUUAAGAACUCUACUUUUAUAGUGAAAUAUAUUCAAGGGGGGGGAUGUUAUAUGUACAAAAUAUAGGUAUACCUAUGAGAAGCUAGUUUUUUUUUGUUUAAUGUAAGAGCUUAAUCUAGACACUACCAACUGCCUAGUGGAUACUUAUAUAAAUUACAUAGGCAGUGGCAGAAAUAAAG